CGCCGGCCCCCCGCGUCUCCCUGUUCGUGAGCGGCCUGCCGCUCGGCCUGGCCCCCGCGGAUUACUGCCGCCUGCUGGACGAGGCUCUGGCUACCAAAGCCGGCCUGGUGUCCUUCAGCCACGUGUACCCCACGCAAGGUGCGCUGGUGCUGGACGUGGCCUGCUGCGCGGAGGCCGAGCGGCUGUACACGCUGGCCAGGGACAC